rnacentral:snRNA from 15 species
UGGAUGAGGGGUAAUGUUGAAGAUGGUCUAAGUCAGUGGCUUUCAUUGCACUUGGAAGAAGCAUUGGCUUACCAUCUCCUUAAAUAGGAGAGUGGACGUCAUAAUUUGCGACUGAGGAGGUACGCGUCCGCGCGGCCCCUAU